GGUCGCAGGAACUUUUUCAGGCAGCAAAAUGGGUAGAAAAAAUGCGACCUAUACGCACCAAAAUACGGUACAGCAGAACAUGUAGUGGUCAGGUUGAUUGUUGGUAAAGAUGUUGUUUGUUUAUCAAAUAUUUCUGAGUUUUGAUAAUAUACUCCUAAACCUUCAGCUGAAUUAAUUAGGAAACACUGAAGUUAUCUAUGCAGUGCUAUAAUUGUUCUCUCUCGAAUCAGUAAAUUUCCUGAUCCAGUGUUGGAAGACUGCUAGCUGUCUGACAUCUCAGAGUUUACAUUUGUCCUCAAAAUUGCAGGUUAUGGAAUAUACAAUUAAAGAUUAUUUGUGAGUUUCAAAAACGGUCUGUCUUUUUCAGUUAUGCUACUUUCUUGGUAUACUGUUUCAGUGUUUGUUUGGGAUUUUAUGCCAUUUUCACAGUAUAUAAACGAACUGAAUGCCAACCGGAUCUUGCAAGCGGAUUUCAGUGUCAGCCAUUUUGCGUCGAGACAGUGGAGUUAAAAAUUCGUGUUCAUGAGGAUACUGUUGAAUGAUAAGCAAAAUGGAAGAAUUCAGCUGCAUAAACUGCAAGUUCC
rnacentral:lncRNA from 1 species